rnacentral:rRNA from 1 species
UACGGGGGGGGCAAGCGUUGUUCGGAAUUACUGGGCGUAAAGGGUUCGUAGGUGGCUUGCUAAGUCAGACGUGAAAUCCCUCAGCUUAACUGGGGAACUGCGUCUGAGACUGGCAAGCUUGAGUGCAGGAGAGGAACGCGGAAUUCCAGGUGUAGCGGUGAAAUGCGUAGAUAUCUGGAGGAACACCGGUGGCGAAGGCGGCGUUCUGGACUGCAACUGACACUGAAGAACGAAAGCCAGGGGAGCAAACGGG